GGGCAGCUUACACAUGCAAGUCGAACGUGAAAGCACUUCGGUGUGAGUAGAGUGGCGGACGGGUGAGUAACGCGUGGGAAUCUGCCCAGUAGUGGGGGACAACUACCGGAAACGGUAGCUAAUACCGCAUACGCCCUAUGGGGGAAAGGCUUCGGCCGCUAUUGGAUGAGCCCGCGUCAGAUUAGCUAGUUGGUAGGGUAAAGGCCUACCAAGGCAACGAUCUGUAGCUGGUCUGAGAGGACGAACAGCCACACUGGGACUGAGACACGGCCCAGACUCCUACGGGAGGCAGCAGUGGGGAAUAUUGGACAAUGGGCGAAAGCCUGAUCCAGCAAUGCCGCGUGUGUGAAGAAGGCCUGCGGGUUGUAAAGCACUUUCAGUUGGGAAGAUGAUGACGUUACCAACAGAAGAAGCACCGGCUAAAUCCGUGCCAGCAGCCGCGGUAAUACGGAUGGUGCGAGCGUUAAUCGGAAUUACUGGGCGUAAAGCGCGCGUAGGCGGCUAAGUCAGUCAGAAGUGAAAGCCCCGGGCUCAACCUGGGAAUUGCUUUUGAUACUGCUUAGCUAGAGUUUGGUAGAGGAUAGUGGAAUUCCAGGUGUAGCGGUGAAAUGCGUAGAUAUCUGGAGGAACAUCAGUGGCGAAGGCGACUGUCUGGACCAAAACUGACGCUGAGGUGCGAAAGCGUGGGUAGCAAACAGGAUUAGAUACCCUGGGUAGUCCACGCCGUAAACGAUGUCAACUAGCCGUCGGGUCUAUUU
rnacentral:rRNA from 1 species